AAUAUCAGGAAGUAUUACUUUACUGAGAGGGUAGUGGAUGCAUGGAAUAGCCUUCCACCUGAAGUGGUAAGAGGUUAACACAGUAAAGGAGUUUAAGCAUGAGUGGGAUAGGCAUAAGGCUAUCCUAACUAUAAGAUAAGGCUAGGGACUAAUGAAAGUAUUCAGAAAAUUGGGCAGACUGGAUGGGCCGAAUGGUUCUUAUCUGCCGUCACA